GACAGGAUGGUGUAGUGGUUAUCACUUUCGUCUUACAUUGGAUUGAAGAAUCUAUAUGCUACACGAACAGUCGGGGGUUCAAAUCCCCCUCCCGUCA
rfam:Calocera cornea HHB12733 unplaced genomic scaffold CALCOscaffold_8, whole genome shotgun sequence.